AGUCGAACGGAGUUAUGAUGUGAGCGGGAAGUGCUUGCACUAAACAAUCUUUUCAUAACUUAGUGGCGGACGGGUGAGUAACGCGUGGGUAACCUGCCCUGUACUGGGGGACAACAGUUGGAAACGACUGCUAAUACCGCAUAAGCGCACGGGAUCGCAUGAUCGUGUGUGAAAAACUCCGGUGGUACAGGAUGGACCCGCGUCUGAUUAGCUGGUUGGUGAGGUAACGGCCCACCAAGGCAACGAUCAGUAGCCGGCCUGAGAGGGUGAACGGCCACAUUGGGACUGAGACACGGCCCAAACUCCUACGGGAGGCAGCAGUGGGGAAUAUUGCACAAUGGGGGAAACCCUGAUGCAGCGACGCCGCGUGAGUGAAGAAGUAUUUCGGUAUGUAAAGCUCUAUCAGCAGGGAAGAAAAUGACGGUACCUGACUAAGAAGCCCCGGCUAACUACGUGCCAGCAGCCGCGGUAAUACGUAGGGGGCAAGCGUUAUCCGGAUUUACUGGGUGUAAAGGGAGCGUAGACGGCAUGGCAAGUCUGAAGUGAAAUGCGGGAGCUCAACCCCUGAACUGCUUUGGAAACUGUCAGGCUGGAGUGCAGGAGAGGUAAGUGGAAUUCCUAGUGUAGCGGUGAAAUGCGUAGAUAUUAGGAGGAACACCAGUGGCGAAGGCGGCUUACUGGACUGUAACUGACGUUGAGGCUCGAAAGCGUGGGGAGCAAACAGGAUUAGAUACCCUGGUAGUCCACGCCGUAAACGAUGAUUACUAGGUGUUGGGGAUUUAUAAAUCCCCGGUGCCGUCGCAAACGCAAUAAGUAAUCCACCUGGGGAGUAC
rnacentral:rRNA from 1 species